CGGAUUUAUUGGGCGUAAAGCGAGCGCAGGCGGUCUUUUAAGUCUAAUGUGAAAGCCUUCGGCUCAACCGAAGAAGUGCAUUGGAAACUGGGAGACUUGAGUGCAGAAGAGGACAGUGGAACUCCAUGUGUAGCGGUGAAAUGCGUAGAUAUAUGGAAGAACACCAGUGGCGAAGGCGGCUGUCUGGUCUGUAACUGACGCUGAGGCUCGAAAGCAUGGGUAGCGAACAGGAUUAGAUACCCUGGUAGUCCAUGCCGUAAACGAUGAUUACUAAGUGUUGGAGGGUUUCCGCCCUUCAGUGCUGCAGCUAACGCAUUAAGUAAUCCGCCUGGGGAGUACGACCGCAAGGUUGAAACUCAAAAGAAUUGACGGGGGCCCGCACAAGCGGUGGAGCAUGUGGUUUAAUUCGAAGCUACGCGAAGAACCUUACCAGGUCUUGACAUCUUCUGCCAACCUAAGAGAUUAGGCGUUCCCUUCGGGGACAGAAUGACAGGUGGUGCAUGGUUGUCGUCAGCUCGUGUCGUGAGAUGUUGGGUUAAGUCCCGCAACGAGCGCAACCCUUAUUACUAGUUGCCAGCAUUCAGUUGGGCACUCUAGUGAGACUGCCGGUGACAAACCGGAGGAAGGUGGGGACGACGUCAAAUCAUCAUGCCCCUUAUGACCUGGGCUACACACGUGCUACAAUGGAUGGUACAACGAGUCGCGAAACCGCGAGGUUUAGCUAAUCUCUUAAAACCAUUCUCAGUUCGGACUGUAGGCUGCAACUCGCCUACACGAAGUCGGAAUCGCUAGUAAUCGCGGAUCAGCAUGCCGCGGUGAAUACGUUCCCGGGCCUUGUAC
rnacentral:rRNA from 2 species